UCAGCCUCAGUAAAGUGGGCAAGUUGAAGUA
rnacentral:piRNA from 2 species